rnacentral:tRNA from 1 species
UUGUCGGUGGUUCAAUGGUAGAAUGCUCGUCUGGCACGCGGGCGGCCCGGGUUCGAUUCGCGGCCGAUACA